AUACUCACGCUACAGAUGUUCCAGAUAUUGCGUACUCCUACUCCCAGGCUACAGAACUCUUGUACACUGCAUAUCCCAAGACCCAGGAUACUGAAAUACCACAAGCUGUGUCUUCUACACAUAAGCCACAGGUAUCCCAGAUAUUGGGAAUGCCUACUCCCAGGCUACAGAACUGGUGCAAACUGCUUCUCUCAACACUCAGGUUACUGAAAUCCUUUACAGUGCGAACGCCUACCCCCAGGCAUUCAUUCUACAGCUCAUAGCAAACCCGCAUAUUGCGUUUUGCUAGUCCCAGGCUCCAGAACUCUUGUAAACGCCUUCAUUCUACACCCAGGAUACAGAAUUCUGGUAAACUGCAUCUCUCUACCCAACCUAACAACAAGCACAUGAGCUGCAUCUCCCACAUUCAGGUUAUAGGAAACCCACAUAUUGUGUAUUGCUACUCCCACGCUACAGAACUCGGUAAACUGUUUCUCUCUGUAAGCAGCUUCCACAAUUCCCAUAAACUGCAU